rnacentral:lncRNA from 10 species
UGUUAUUCCUCUUUUAAGAGAAUCUGUUGGAAUAUUAAUGCAGAGAACUCCUCCCCUAUUAGAAAAUAGUCUGCCUCAGUGCUAUCAGAGGGUACAGCAGUUGCAAGGAGUUUACAGUUUACAGGAACAGCACUUCUGGACUUUAUGUUCUGACGUUUAUGUUGGGACCUUGAAAUUAAUAGUAGCACCUGAUGCUGAUGCUAGGUGGAUUUUAAGCCAAACACAUAAUAUUUUUACUCAGGAAACUGGAAGAGGAAAAUGAGAAUCUGUAAAACUUGAAGCUGUCCUCAUCGGGCCAGAUGGAUAAAGCAAAAUGACUUUUUUUUCUUUUUUUUUUCUGUUAGACUGAGCUUUUGUGGAAAGCUGUAAGCCCUCAGGGGAAGGAUAUCAGCUUGAGUAAUUAACUCAUGAUUAUGCAAAGAAAAUUUACCUAGCCUCUUUGUUUUUCCUUUCUUUGUUAUUGCCUUGGGCUACUUCAUUUUUUAUUACCAUCUUCUCUGUUUAGGGCUAGGAGUAAGGAAAAUGACAGAGACAAUAAAAAGAGCCCAAGUUUUGCCCAUUUUGCUUUCACUAACAAUGUUGUUGAAAAAUAAAAGAAAUUAAGACAAUUUAUUUGAACAAUA